rnacentral:rRNA from 1 species
AGAUUGAACGCUGGCGGCAGGCCUAACACAUGCAAGUCGAGCGGUAGAGAGGUGCUUGCACCUCUUGAGAGCGGCGGACGGGUGAGUAAUGCCUAGGAAUCUGCCUAGUGGUGGGGGAUAACGUUCGGAAACGGACGCUAAUACCGCAUACGUCCUACGGGAGAAAGCGGGGGACCUUCGGGCCUCGCGCCAUUAGAUGAGCCUAGGUCGGAUUAGCUAGUUGGUGAGGUAAUGGCUCACCAAGGCGACGAUCCGUAACUGGUCUGAGAGGAUGAUCAGUCACACUGGAACUGACGACGACGGUCCAAGACCUCCGUACGGGAGCAGCAGUGGGAAUAGUGGACAAGUGGGACGAAAGCCUAGGACUCCAGCCAGUGCCGCGGUGUGUAGAAGGAGGUCGUU